CGCGGGGCCUCGGUAGGGAAGGGGCCGGCUCAUAAGGCUGGAGUGGCGGGUUCGACCCCCGUACCCGCGACCA
rnacentral:tRNA from 1 species